AUGAGCCGGCGGUUUCUGUACAUGGCGGUCGAGAACUUGUGUGCUUCUCCCGUCUCGCACACGGUCAACCGCAUCAACCCCUCGCGCCUGUUCUACCCCAAGGGUUCGCCGGAGCGGACGGCGGCGGCCGCAGCGCCGGCUGCGAGGGCUAUGGCGAUGGAGGCAGCGAAGGAGAGGGCGAGGGCGAUGACGGAGGUGGCGGCGGCCGAUGCGGUGAAGGCUCGCCUGGCUCACCCCUCCAUGACCUUCUCCUCUUCCGACGUGGACAACGUGGUGGAUACGGACUUCGCGCUCAUCGGCCGGAGCAAGGACAAGAUCGUCGCCCUGCACCGCGCCCACCUCGAAGACAUCAGAGGUUGCCGGAUCACGACCCAGGGCAGCGCCGUCCUCUACGACGAUGCCUCGCACUCCUUCCGCGCGCUGCCCGACAUCACAGCCACAUUGCCCCACGGCGAGGUCGCGCCUGUCGCCGUCGGCGACGACCUUUCAUACACUCCACACGGUCGCACAUCUGGGCGUCCACGCGCAGUCACGGGACCUACUCCAUGGACCAUGGACACGGCGACCGGCGUGUGGAGCAAGGCCAGCGACUCACCGCUGCCGUUCAGGGGACGCGCCGAGUACGCUCCGGAGCUCGGCCUCUGGUUCGGCUUCCCCAAUGACGACUGGCAGACUCGGGGCUGGGACAGAGGACUCCUCUGCGCGUGGGACCUGAAAUCCGCCGGCGCUGGCGCCGGGGCAGCGCCGAUCGAGGCGCGCGGAGUGUGGGAAGGCUUCACGGUGCCCAGGGGAAGCUAUGUGAGGUCGCACCUCGUGCACCUGGGCGACGGUGGCCGGUUCUGCGUCACCAAGUUCUUUGAGAUGACAAAGCCGCCGCCGGCGUCGUGCUGUGCUCGCUGUUACUAUGACAAUUGCCCUCCUGAAAUCGGGUUCGCCGUGCUCAUCGGCGUGGAGGUGGAGCGCUAUGGCAGCGGGGAGCUCCGAAUGAUCAAGCACAGGUCGCGCAAAUAUAGCUUAGAAAUAAGAGACCAAUGUUCCUACAAGCUCUCUCAGAGCUCAGGCACUCUCGGCCGUCGGAUCGUCCUGCUUGAUGCAUUUUCGGCCGUUGGAUCGAGAGCCUGGUUACUCCAUUUGUUUGAUCGGCACUCGCUGACGUGUGGGUCCCGUCGCGGGUGGGCCGCAUUUGUCAGCGACCGUGUCUGUGGCUCCGGCGCGUCCGUCCCAUUGCGUGCACCAGCGGUAAAUAUCCCCAUGCCACCGCAUGUUAUAUCCUGCCCCGCCGAGGGUAUUUUGGUCUUUUCGCUUCCAGGGUCGUGCGUGGCUUGCGGUGGUUGGCUCGUGCGGCUAUGGGGUGGGGGAGGGCGGCUACCUAUCCUUUCGUGCUCUCAUUCGUCCCCCUUGUCUCCUUCUCCUAUCCCAAACCUAGCCGUCGCAUCGCCCCGUCCCGCUCUCCCGUGGUCGCUCGCCGCCGCCCGCACUGGCGCCGCGACCUUUCCUCUCUUCAUCGCGCCGCCACCUUCCCUUCUCCUCCGGCCUCGCCUCUUCCUCCCUUCUCCUCCGGCGCCUCCUCCCAAGGGAAGUGAAGGGAAGGAUCGAGCCAUGGAGGUCCGGUCCGGCCCGGCAGCGGCCAUGGAUGGAGACGCCCAAAACCCUAGCCCUCCAAGGACGUGCGCCGGCUGCAGGCCAUCUCCGGCGAGCUCAUCCACGGGUCUCCGACUAUGGUGCGUGUGCAUGAUCCCUAAAUCCCCUCUCUUGUCGCUGCUCCGAUCUGGAAGAGGGGGUGGAGCUGCUACUGCUGCAGGUGAACGAGACACGAGGUCUCAUGGCUGCUCCCUCCUCCUACCCCUUGACGUGGUGAACUCCACCCCCUCUUCCUACCCCCUGCACAUCUAUCUUAUUUUGAUUGCAAUUGUGGUUGCUCUGAUGAGGACAAGCUGCUUCUGCAGGUGGACGGGCCCUCAUGGUCGCCACACUCUCUCAUCGGAAGUUGGCAGGAGAAGCAUCGGCCGCCGAAGCAGACGAGCCGAGCCAUUAGUGGCUGCAUCUUUGACAUCCUUUCCUAGCAUGCUCGCCAGCGUACGUUGUCCACUGGCAGUAGCAAGGAUCAUGGUGCAGGACCCAGGCCACUCAAACUCAAAGCAUACUAACAACCAGGCCUGGAGAUAUAGUUUGCACAAUGUUCUGUUCUGCCAUAUGCCAUUUUGA
rnacentral:rRNA from 1 species